AUACAUCUGAGAGCAUUAGCUGUGUGCAGUCCAGCAGUCAUCCUAAUUGAACUGAAGGAAAAGAAGGAGUUUGUUAGGAGCAGUAUGCCAAUAAUCCUAAUUAACAAAACCACACACUUUAAAUGGUGUCUUAUAAUAGAUGCCAUAACUGUAUCUGGAAAGGAGAUACAUGACAGGAUUUUGAUCUUACGUUGACAAAAUAACACUGGAACUCAAGGAGCAGAUAUAACCCCAGAAGGAUACACUGCCCCCCACCAUGGAGACACUCUGAGACUCAGUUAUCUUCUGACAAGCAAAUGUGGCAUUGGCCAUUGACAGUUAACAUGGAAAGGACAGAUUCAUUACAACUCAG
ensembl:lncRNA